rnacentral:hammerhead_ribozyme from 1 species
AUUCAGUUGACGAGUCCAAAACAGGACGAAACCCUAAUCUUGGAU